rnacentral:lncRNA from 1 species
CUCAUUUCAGAAUUGCCUCAUUUUAUCAACCAACUAUCAGAUCAAAGCACAGGCCAUUAAAUUUGAGUCCACCAAACACAAUCCAAUUUCUUAUACAUCUCAGAUUCAAACCUAAUAACAUAUACUAUCUCAGAUUUAAUUAAUAACAGAUACAAUCAGAAUACAACAAAGUUCAAACAAUAGUUCAUCUCUUCUGGUGACUGCUUCCAAGAGUAGCAACCUGUAAAUGUACGAACACCAUGCGGACUCAUUGCGUCAUGCUGACUCAUAGACAAGCAUCCUGCAACGUGAGAAGAAUAAUGUAAUAAAUUCACAGGAAGUACAGUUCGAUACAUGUAAAGUGACUUCUAUGAACAUGGCCUGUAUAGAUUAUAUUUACACAUUUUUACAGUAUAUGAUUUUGUUUGCUUAAGAAAGCAGACAACCUGUAACUCCUAGUUCAGUUAGCUGGUGGUAGUGUACAUUCCAAAAAACUAAGAUUACAGUAGCAUGCCUCAAUGCAGUAGCCUAAGAUUACAUGGACAAAUGUUGCUAAAAAGCUUUUUAACUGCAACAUCAAUUCCAUUUAUAAGAUGACCAUGAUAAACGACCCCAUAAGCAUCCUCUCCUAUGAUAUUAUCAUCACAGAACCCAGUUGUUGCGUGCUCCAAAUCCCUGAGAGUAAACCAAUGUCCCCAACCAAGAUGAGAAAUAAACAAACCUUUAGAUUUUACAUAUUAUAGCUCUCAAAAUCCUGACAAAAAAUACAUAUGAAAAAUAAACAAACCUUUAGAUUUUAAAGAAUGUUGUGGCUCUUUAUAAAAGAACAUAUAGCAAAGCAUACCCAUCAGUUAUAUGAAAUGUUGGAUUGGAGCAUUAGUAAGUGGAAGAAUAUUGGAGCAUUAUGUACUUACUUUUUUUUUUAUUUUGACUCAGCAUAUGUAGAGCUUAAUAUGAGUUUUUCUAAUCAAAAUGAAAUUAUUUGCCUAUCACUAUCAGAUUAACUAUCUAUCUAUACCUCCAUAACUAUACAAAUUAGUCUCACCAUUGAUUUCGUAGGGUAAUAAUCAUUGAUAAAUAAAGCACAAUUUUAAAUUUUGCUAUCAAGAUUACACUGUACACAUAAUAUUUUCUUGGAUGGUAAGAUAAAGGCAACCGCAUAUGAACACAUUCAGGUAAUAUAUUAAUACAAAUUUUGGUAGCAACUAUUCUUUGGUGUUAAUACAUUUAAUAUUAUUUUGUUGUUAACUCUCAUGUAAAUCAUAGAUUGUAUAAUCCUUUAAGAUCUUCCGAAAUCAUCUACGAUAGAUGUACAACUUUAAUGUGCUAUCUGGCAAACUAAAUAUAUAGGCAGUAACCAAACAUGCCAGUGCAAUAUAUAGAUCCAUUCGUCAUCGGAUGAUAGGAUAUCAUAUCUUAUAUAGUGCAGGAGCAAGAGAUCAGGUAAAAGAAAGCAGAAGUAGAGGUAGCUGCAAACGAACGUACAUGCGUACACAUGGCGAUCGUGUUCUUCGACGUGGAGACGACGACGGCGUCUCGGUCGGAUCAUCAUCAGCGCCUGCUCGAGUUCGGCGCCAUCUCGUGGUGUGCCCCAGCAAGCUGGUGGAGGUGGACAACUACCACACGCUCAUCCGGCCGGCCGACCUCUCCGCCGUCUUCAAGCGCUUCACCGCGGCCGCCCGNN